rnacentral:rRNA from 1 species
CCUACGGGAGGCAGCAGUGGGGAAUAUUGGACAAUGGGGGCAACCCUGAUCCAGCCAUGCCGCGUGUGUGAAGAAGGCCCUCGGGUUGUAAAGCACUUUCAGUGAGGAAGAACGCCUGGUGGUUAAUACCCAUCAGGAAAGACAUCACUCACAGAAGAAGCACCGGCUAACUCCGUGCCAGCAGCCGCGGUAAUACGGAGGGUGCGAGCGUUAAUCGGAAUUACUGGGCGUAAAGCGGCGUAGGUGGCUUGAUAAGCCGGUUGUGAAAGCCCCGGGCUCAACCUGGGAACGGCAUCCGGAACUGUCAAGCUAGAGUGCAGGAGAGGAAGGUAGAAUUCCCGGUGUAGCGGUGAAAUGCGUAGAGAUCGGGAGGAAUACCAGUGGCGAAGGCGGCCUUCUGGACUGACACUGACACUGAGGUGCGAAAGCGUGGGUAGCAAACAGGAUUAGAUACCCGAGUAGUC